CGCAGCCGCGGUAAUACGUAGGUGGCAAGCGUUGUCCGGAAUUAUUGGGCGUAAAGGGCUCGCAGGCGGUUUCUUAAGUCUGAUGUGAAAGCCCCCGGCUCAACCGGGGAGGGUCAUUGGAAACUGGGAAACUUGAGUGCAGAAGAGGAGAGUGGAAUUCCACGUGUAGCGGUGAAAUGCGUAGAGAUGUGGAGGAACACCAGUGGCGAAGGCGACUCUCUGGUCUGUAACUGACGCUGAGGAGCGAAAGCGUGGGGAGCGAACAGGAUUAGAUACCCGAGUAGUCCCUGUCUCUUAUACA
rnacentral:rRNA from 1 species